UACGUAGGGUCCGAGCGUUGUCCGGAAUUACUGGGCGUAAAGAGCUCGUAGGUGGUUUGUCGCGUUGUUCGUGAAAACUCACAGCUCAACUGUGGGCGUGCGGGCGAUACGGGCAGACUUGAGUACUGCAGGGGAGACUGGAAUUCCUGGUGUAGCGGUGGAAUGCGCAGAUAUCAGGAGGAACACCGGUGGCGAAGGCGGCGACCUGGGUAGAUACUGACGCUGAGGUGCGAAAGCGUGGGGAGCAAACAGG
rnacentral:rRNA from 1 species